rnacentral:tRNA from 1 species
AGGCUUGUAGCUCAGGUGGUUAGAGCGCACCCCUGAUAAGGGUGAGGUCGGUGGUUCAAGUCCACUCAUGCCUACCA